rnacentral:rRNA from 1 species
GUGAUAUGGAGCAAAACCCUAAAAACGGUACUCAGUUCGGAUUGAAGGCUGAAAUUCGCCUUCAUGAAGCUGGAAUUGCUAGUAAUGGCAGGUCAGCAUACUGCCGUGAAUACGUUCCCGGGCCUUGUACACACCGCCCGUCACACCAUGGGAGUUGGGAGCGCCCGAAGCCGGUGAGGUAACCGAGAGGAGCCAGCCGUCGAAGGUGAGACCAAUGACUGGGGUGAAGUCGUAACAAGGUAAC